GAUGAACGCUGGCGGCGUGCCUAAUACAUGCAAGUCGAGCGAACAGACGAGGAGCUUGCUCCUCUGACGUUAGCGGCGGACGGGUGAGUAACACGUGGAUAACCUACCUAUAAGACUGGGAUAACUUCGGGAAACCGGAGCUAAUACCGGAUAAUAUAUUGAACCGCAUGGUUCAAUAGUGAAAGACGGUUUUGCUGUCACUUAUAGAUGGAUCCGCGCCGCAUUAGCUAGCUGGUAAGGUAACGGCUUACCAAGGCAACGAUGCGUAGCCGACCUGAGAGGGUGAGCGGCCACACUGGAACUGAGACACGGUCCAGACUCCUACGGGAGGCAGCAGUAGGGAAUCUUCCGCAAUGGGCGAAAGCCUGACGGAGCAACGCCGCGUGAGUGAUGAAGGUCUUCGGAUCGUAAAACUCUGUUAUUAGGGAAGAACAAAUGUGUAAGUAACUAUGCACGUCUUGACGGUACCUAAUCAGAAAGCCACGGCUAACUACGUG
rnacentral:rRNA from 1 species